AUAAAACAAUUCAGUACUCCAGCGACUAAACCCGCUGAGGCAGGAGCAUUGCAAGUUUGAGACCUGUCUAAACAACUCAGCAAGAUCCUGUCUCAAAAAAAAAAAAAAAAGAAUUGGAGAUGUAACUCAAUGGUAAAGCUUCCCCUGAGUUCAAUCCCAGUGCACCAAAAUAACCAGUGCUAAGAAAAGAAAGUCUUAUUUAUUUAGCUAUUUUUCCUAAAUUUAGCUACAUAAUCUUCAACUAAACUGACAUUUGUACCACGCAUACAUAACUAAUGCAGAUGUCAUAACAUUCAGCCUAGUGUGAAGAGACCUUGUUGGAAAUAGGGAAAGUUCCUAGGAAAUGAUGUAAAUAGAACCUUUUGGGUAGUGGCCACCAUCCUCCUAAUUGAAAUGUGGGAACAACAGCCUAUAAACUUGAUUAAAAAGAUCCCAGGUCAAGUAUGUUGGUAUACCUGUAAUCCCAGCUAAUAGGAGGCUAAUGCAAGAGGAUUGUGAAUUUGAGGCCAGCCUGGACAAUUUAGCAAGACCCUGUCUCAAAAGGGAAUCAUGUGCGGUGGCCUACUCCUGUAAUCCCAGGGGCUCUGAAGGUUGAGGUAGGGGAAUCAAAGUUCAAAGCCAGCCUUCGCAAAAGCAAGGCGCUAAGCAACUCAGUGAGACCCUGUCUCUAAAAUACAAGGGACUGGGGAUGUGGCUCGCCUGGCGUGCGUGCGGCCCAGGUUCGAUCCUCAGCACCACAUACAAAGAUGUUGUGUCCGCCAAAAACUAAAAAAUAAAUACUAAAAAUUCU
rnacentral:lncRNA from 1 species